ACUGAGUAGUGUGUUUUGUUCGCUAUCACCCAUCAGCCAUGUGCACAACCUGCUUUCUCUUUGGGUAUCCCGGCGCGCGCUCGCUUCUCUGCGUUGACUGCGAGAACGCGCGCGCGCAGUGGUGCGCGCUGUCCGUCGCGCGCGCUGAGGAGGAAAGUCCUGACCUCAGCCCAGAGUCCGUAGGAAUUUGAAAAGAAUAAAAGUAAGAGCUGCUUCUUACAUUUUUGACGUCGUUGCACCGAACCAGGCUCGAACCCUGAGCACUCGUGACUGUUAACUCGAGCUGAACGCUGUCUGGGUUCUGGGUCCGACCCGCACGCGCAGGGAUCCCAGCGCCUCUGAUUGGAGUGAGCAUGAAGAUCCGGAUUAAUGAUCGGUUUCUUGCAUGAACCUGGUAAAUGCUAGGAGUUACAGUAUAUGGGUGAGGAUUGGGUUCUCGGGUAAUACAGUAAGUGAGAUAAGGCGGGGGAAUCACAUGCCUGUCCAGUGUAAGCAAAGUGGUGGUGGUGGAGGUGGAGGUGGUUGAGUAGACCAUUCCUGCCUCACAGCUCCAGAUUCCCUGACUUAAAUCUAAGCUUGGGUUACUGUAUGUGCAAAGUUUUAUAUGUUUCGAUGAUAUCCACUGUUUCCUGGAACCACUGCGACCCUGAACAGAUUACAGCAGAACAAACAAAAAAGUAUAUUAAUAUGAAUACCACUAAUAACACUAAUAUUACUCAUCAUAAUCCUUAUCAUCAACAUCCUGAUCAUUUUUUUUUACAAUGAUAUUGUUUAUUAUUGCAAGAUUUUGAAGCUUCCGUUUUAUUCGUUAACCUGUUUGACUUUUUGUGGUGAAUCAGCUAACGUAUUACUUGUGAAUUCCAAAUAUUCGCUCUGUUCUAACAUAUUGUUCGCUUUUGAUUUUCAGCCACACAAAAGCCUCAGUACUGGUAUUCAUUCUUUCUUAGUUAUCAAGUUGAGUCACUUCAGCAAUAGACUCCUCCUGUAAAAUCUACACUAACCAACUCCAGAGGGACAUUAGCAAUGUUGCAGCUUUUAUGACCGGGAAAUUUGUCAGUUACUUAUUCUGCAGUCGUAAUUAAGGAAUGGGAAGAAAAACGUUGAAGUCAGCAUGUGGGGAAAGUCAACACAACAAAAAAUUGUCUGCUUGUCUGCUUACUUACAGACUUCACCAUAUUUCUGCCUAUAAUGGAUGGUAAUGUGACAAAUGUCCUUUUGCACAAUUUAAUUAAACAUUUUCAUGCCAACAAGCUCUUGCUCUAUUUGUAUAAUUGAAAUAUGAAAAUCUUAUAUUGUAGAUCAUUUACAGAUUUUUCUGAUUUCUUACAUAAAUUUGUGGACUCUCAGUCUCAGCAUAUACAUUUAUUAAUUAAUAAAUAAGAAUGGCAAGAGAACAUGUGAUAAAUAAUUUGUGCCAUGCAUUUUUUGGGGUUUGGGAGAAAUGUUAGCGAAUAAUGUUUUAUUAUUGAUGUUAGUUGCUAAACUACACAAAUAUAUUUAAAACCUUAAAUAAUUUCAUUUGACAAGUUAGUAAUAAGCCUCACAGCUCCAGCGUUUCCGGUGUGAUGAGCUCAUGUUACUAUAUGUAUGAAGUUUCACAUGUUCUUUCCAUUUGCAGGUCAUUGCAGGUUUCCUCAGGGUUGUGUACUUUUCUCCCACCUCCCAAAUGACUAUGUUUAACUGCUCCUUAGGGUGAAUGUGUGUGCAGGGAGAUGUGUGUUGGACUGUUGGCUCAUCAAAAGUGUAUUCGUAUCUCACUCCCUAUAUUCCUCUGAUAAAUUCUUGAUCUAAAGCAACUCUGUUCAGGAUGAAGUGAUAUUGAAGAAGAACGAAUAAAUCUGGUAAAUGAUGCUCUCACUCUGUGAUAUAGAUACA